rnacentral:rRNA from 1 species
CGAAUGCUGACAUAAGUAACGAUAAAGCGGGUGAAAAGCCCGCUCGCCGGAAGACCAAGGGUUCCUGUCCAACGUUAAUCGGGGCAGGGUGAGUCGACCCCUAAGGCGAGGCCGAAAGGCGUAGUCGAUGGGAAACAGGUUAAUAUUCCUGUACUUGGUGUUACUGCGAAGGGGGGACGGAGAAGGCUAUGUUGGCCGGGCGACGGUUGUCCCGGUUUAAGCGUGUAGGCUGGUUUUCCAGGCAAAUCCGGAAAAUCAAGGCUGAGGCGUGAUGACGAGGCACUACGGUGCUGAAGCAACAAAUGCCCUGCUUCCAGGAAAAGCCUCUAAGCAUCAGGUAACAUCAAAUCGUACCCCAAACCGACACAGGUGGUCAGGUAGAGAAUACCAAGGCGCUUGAGAGAACUCGGGUGAAGGAACUAGGCAAAAUGGUGCCGUAACUUCGGGAGAAGGCACGCUGAUAUGUAGGUGAAGCGACUUGCUCGUGGAGCUGAAAUCAGUCGAAGAUACCAGCUGGCUGCAACUGUUUAUUAAAAACACAGCACUGUGCAAACACGAAAGUGGACGUAUACGGUGUGACGCCUGCCCGGUGCCGGAAGGUUAAUUGAUGGGGUCAGCGCAAGCGAAGCUCUUGAUCGAAGCCCCGGUAAACGGCGGCCGUAACUAUAACGGUCCUAAGGUAGCGAAAUUCCUUGUCGGGUAAGUUCCGACCUGCACGAAUGGCGUAAUGAUGGCCAGGCUGUCUCCACCCGAGACUCAGUGAAAUUGAACUCGCUGUGAAGAUGCAGUGUACCCGCGGCAAGACGGAAAGACCCCGUGAACCUUUACUAUAGCUUGACACUGAACAUUGAGCCUUGAUGUGUAGGAUAGGUGGGAGGCUUAGAAGUGUGGACGCCAGUCUGCAUGGAGCCGACCUUGAAAUACCACCCUUUAAUGUUUGAUGUUCUAACGUAGACCCGUGAUCCGGGUUGCGGACAGUGUCUGGUGGGUAGUUUGACUGGGGCGGUCUCCUCCUAAAGAGUAACGGAGGAGCACGAAGGUUGGCUAAUCCUGGUCGGACAUCAGGAGGUUAGUGCAAUGGCAUAAGCCAGCUUGACUGCGAGCGUGACGGCGCGAGCAGGUGCGAAAGCAGGUCAUAGUGAUCCGGUGGUUCUGAAUGGAAGGGCCAUCGCUCAACGGAUAAAAGGUACUCCGGGGAUAACAGGCUGAUACCGCCCAAGAGUUCAUAUCGACGGCGGUGUUUGGCACCUCGAUGUCGGCUCAUCACAUCCUGGGGCUGAAGUAGGUCCCAAGGGUAUGGCUGUUCGCCAUUUAAAGUGGUACGCGAGCUGGGUUUAGAACGUCGUGAGACAGUUCGGUCCCUAUCUGCCGUGGGCGCUGGAGAACUGAGGGGGGCUGCUCCUAGUACGAGAGGACCGGAGUGGACGCAUCACUGGUGUUCGGGUUGUCAUGCCAAUGGCACUGCCCGGUAGCUAAAUGCGGAAGAGAUAAGUGCUGAAAGCAUCUAAGCACGAAACUUGCCCCGAGAUGAGUUCUCCCUGACCCUUUAAGGGUCCUGAAGGAACGUUGAAGACGACGACGUUGAUAGGCCGGGUGUGUAAGCGCAGCGAUGCGUUGAGCUAACCGGUACUAAUGAACCGUGAGGCUUAACCUU